rnacentral:rRNA from 1 species
GUAAGGAAUAUUGGACAAUGGCCGGAAGGCUGAUCCAGCCAUGCCGCGUGAAGGACGAAGGCGCUCAGCGUUGUAAACUUCUUUUGGACGGGGAUAAUAAUCCCGACUUGUCGGGACUUGAAGGUACCGUCAGAAUAAGCACCGGCUAACUCCGUGCCAGCAGCCGCGGUAAUACGGAGGGUGCGAGCGUUAUCCGGAAUCACUGGGUUUAAAGGGUGCGUAGGCGGCGGGAUAAGUCAGUUGUGAAAUCGCUGGGCUCAACCCAUGCAAUUGCGAUUGAUACUGUUCUGCUUGAAACAGGUUGAGGCAGGCGGAAUGUGGCAUGUAGCGGUGAAAUGCAUAGAUAUGCCAUAGAACACCGAUUGCGAAGGCAGCUUGCUGGGCCUGAUUUGACGCUGAGGCACGAAAGCGUGGGGAGCAAACAGGAUUAGAUACCCUGGUAGUCC